AGGUGCUGAACGUGUCCUCCAAGGGUUUCAAGGUUAUCGUAUGCCCUGAAAUUGGGCAAGGAGCUUUAAGAGGGAACUUUGAGUUUGCCAGAGAAAACUCAAGAUGUUUCUACAUGAAGAAAAUGGUUUCAGACAUUUGACUUCUUUAAUUUUUGCAUACUCUUUGUGAUGGUUGUUAGCAAAGACCUAGAGUGGUUGUAUGGCUAUUUGCAAAGGCUGAGUGUGACUUGAUAUUGGCUCAACUUGAAAACUUUGAUAUUUGAUGUUUGUAUUCAAAAUUGGAAACAAAGGUGUUUAAAAGGAUGAUAUAUGAUUAUGGGGUGGCAUAUAAGACUUUGCAGAACUUACCUGCACACUUAUAUAUUUUCUGCCAAAAUAGUUGUUUGUUUUGAUGUUAACCUGUGCUUGUCAUGUUUAUCUCCAUACCUUCUUUGGUUUAAAGUUUAUUCUAAUUAAAACCCUAAUUAGUAAUAUUUGUAUUUACUGGUAGCUUAGCUGUCUGAGUGUAAUCUCAUUUUGUUUGUUAAUUGGUUUGCAUUAUUAGCUCAUUUUAAAUUGCCAAGAAAAAUCCUGAAGACAAGUGAACAUAAUUAAAUUGGAGCAUGGGUCACUUCUUACUGCCUCUUUUUCCAGUGAGCAGAGAAUUUCUAUAAACAAAAACAAGGUCUACUUUAAAGAGAAAUAAAUAAGGUUUGUAUUUUAAGUAAGGAUAAAUCCUAUUGUAUUUAAGAUGAUAGUUGUGAGAUUUGAUUGUUGUGAAAUUUGAUUGUUAUGAAAUAUGAGAAGGUAAAACUGAGACUUAUUUGAAGAUUCAUGCAAUAAUUUUCUUAUUUGAGCAACAUUUAAGACUUCAUAGGGGGCGCCUUUUGGUAAAGAAGCAGAAACUUUGGAGUUAGAUAGACCUGGGUUGGGGCUUGGAUUUGACAUUUACUGUCUGUGAGAUCUUGGUUAAGUUACAGGCUGAGUAUCCCUUAUCCAAAAUGCUUGUGACCACAAGCGUUUUGGACGUCAGAUUUUUUCAGUUUGGAAUAUUUGCAUAUACAUUAUGAGCUAUCUCAGGGAUGGAACCCAAAUCUGAUCACAAAAUUUAUUUAUAUUUCCUAUAUAUCUUAUACACAUGGUCUGCAGGUAAUUUUAGAUAAUAUUUUAAAAUAAUUUUGUGCAUGAAACAGAGUUUUGACUGUAACCUGUCACAUGAGGCCAAGUGUGAAAUUUUCCACUUGUGACAUAAUGCCAGUGCUCAAAAGAUUUCAAAUUUUGGAGAAUUUCAGAUUUGAAAUUUUUGGAUUAGGGAUGCUCAACCAGUAUUACUCUUUCUAAGCCUCAGUUUUCUCAUCUUUAAAAUGGAUAUAAUAGCAGCUGUUUAAUAGUACGUUGUUAGAAUUAAAUGAAAUAGUGUAUGUCAGGUAGCUCACACACCUUAGGCACUUAAAGAACACAGUUUAGUUUUCCUUCUAGUCUUUAGAUGAUUCAGGGAGCAUAAUUAGAAGUUAUAAACAACAACAAAACUCCACCUGUGAAAUCUUUCUCUCUGUACGUCACUUAGGUAAACAUAGCCAGAUUUUCUGCAGAGAAGCAUAAACAGUCUUUAUUGUCAGUUUGAUUGUCGACUUAUCAUAAAACAAACACAAUAGUCUGAAUUUAAGAAAUAGGGGCUUUAAAUAGGCGGUGAGUAAAUAGGCUGUGAGCAAGAAAGUUUUGACUAUCACUAUACAAAAAACACUUGAUGUGCAGAUUUGCCUAACACAUUUUUUAAAAAUUAUAGAAAUGUAAUUCUGUAUUUUCACAACUAAAUUAAUCUUUUCCCCUUCUGGUUAAUUGGGGAAUUAUUUUUUACCUAGAAUAAUAAAACAUAUGAUAUGAUCAAGUUCAAUAAUUUACUCUUCAAAUUGAUGAAACAGUUCUUCAAAUAGUCUCACAUAAUUACACUGCACAUUUGAAAAGUAUUCAUUUCUUAUAAUAUAUUUAAAUCAAUGGUUAAAAAUGAGCACACAGACAGAAUAUGCCAACAAAUUUUGCUUUCCAGGGUGGCGGUGGAGAAGAGAUGGGAGGUAGGAGGGAGAAGGGGAAUUGAGAGGUAGCUAAAUCCCUAGAUCAAUGAAAGUAAUUAAACAAUCUUGAAAAAUUUGAUAAAUAAUUAGUGCUAACAAACUCAAUAGAAAUCAAAACUAGUUAAUACACUUAAAGACGAAAAGAAUCUCACAGACAAAUAAAAGAUAGAGAAUGGCCAUUUAUUUAUUCAACAAAUAUUUAUUUAGUGACUAUGAUGUAAAAAAUAGAGCUAUAAACUAAAGAAUAUGUGGGCUAAUUGAAAAAAAUGUAUUUAUGGUAGAAAGAAUUGAAGUCAAAUAUUUUAUUCAGUUUACAAAUGAAAGCCUCAUAGAUGUAGCUAAAAUUACCAUCCUAAUUAUUGUAAAAGUUACUACUUUUGAAAUGAAAAAAUAUAAAAACAUGACAACUUUUCCCCUCUCAUUCAACUCCAUUUUUCAUAGUACCUUUUGUGCCUAUCCUUUCCAAUCUUUUCCUAAUUUUAUACAGACCCAGUGAAAGAUACAUUACACACACAUAUAUACAUGUACAUUCUCGUUACCAAUUUUCUGUAUUCGUUCUUACACUGUUAUAAAGAACUACUUGAGACUGGGUAAUUUAGAAAGAAAAGAAGUUUAAUUGACUCACAGUUCCACAGGCUGUACAGGAGACUGUGGAGGCCUCAGGAAACUUA
rnacentral:lncRNA from 10 species